rnacentral:rRNA from 1 species
UACAGAGGUCUCAAGCGUUGUCCGGAUUCAUUGGGCGUAAAGAGCACGCAGGCGGUUUGGCAAGUCGGAUGUGAAAGCCCGGAGCUCAACUCCGGACCUGCAUCCGAAACUGCCCGACUAGAGGUAGGUAGGGGAGAUCGGAAUUCCUGGUGUAGCGGUGAAAUGCGCAGAUAUCAGGAGGAACACCGGUGGCGAAGGCGGCUCACUGGCCCGGUACUGACGCUGAGGUGCGAAAGCGUGGGGAGCAAACAGG